rnacentral:tRNA from 1 species
CGGGAUGUAGCGCAAUUGGUAGCGCACGUGGUUUGGGACCAUGGGGUUGCAGGUUCAAGUCCUGUCAUUCCGACCA